AUUGAACGCUGGCGGCAGGCCUAACACAUGCAAGUCGAGCGGAGCGGCGGACGGGUGAGUAAUGCCUAGGAAUCUGCCUGGUAGUGGUGGAUAACGUCCGGAAACGGGCGCUAAUACCGCUUACUAUCAGAUGAGCCUAGGUCCGAUUAGCUAGUUGGUGGGGGAAAGGCCUACCAAGGCGACGAUCCGUAACUGGGCUGAGAGGAUGAUCAGUCACACUGGAACUGAGACACGGUCCAGACUCCUACGGGAGGCAGCAGUGGGGAUUAUUGGACAAUGGGCGAAAGCCUGAUGCAGCCAUGCCGCGUGUGUGAAGAAGGUCUUCGGAUUGUAAAGUACUUUAAGUUGGGAGGCGUUACCCACAGAAUAAGCACCGGCUAACUUCGUGCCAGCAGCCGCGGUAAUUC
rnacentral:rRNA from 1 species